CUAAUACUUUCUUCGUCUUAAAAUUCUUGUUUUAGAUUUUAUCUAGAUAUGAAUGUAUCUAGUCAUGUUUUAGUAUUUAUAUACAUUUAUUUCUAUACAAAUCUAAGACAAGAAUUUUGGGACGAAGGGAGUAUAAC
rfam:Hordeum vulgare subsp. vulgare, WGS project CAJW01000000 data, contig: morex_contig_141312